rnacentral:tRNA from 1 species
GGGGAAUUAGCUCAUCUGGUAGAGCACUCGCUUCGCAUGCUUGAGGUACUGAGAUCGAGACUCGGAUUCUCCA